UGACUGCAGCACAAUGGGUCCUUUGCAUAUGAGAAGGAGAAACUGUUAGGCAGGUAGAGACCUGAGAGGCUUUCCUGCUGGGACUAGAAUGUGGUGAGGAUGUCUUUAGGGAGGGAAGGUGGUGUGGAGGGAAGACCUUUGCUACACGACAAGCCUUUCUGUUAGGAUAACAGAACCUGGGGGAAACUCAGGAGCCCCAAGAAGCCCAGCUGCAGAGAGACAGAAGGAAGUCACUUCGGGAAUCUCCGUUGUCAGAUGCCAGUGGAGGAACAAAGAGGGCACACGGCUGGUGAAGGCAUUUCAGAGGUCACCUUUCACUUUGGAACCUGGAAGAUCAUCUUUAGCUGGAGCUGGCCUCCCCUUCUUGAACUGAAUGCAGACCCCUGGAUAGAUGUUGGGAUGGUCAAGUCUGGAGCAUCAGCCAUGAGCCGAGCUAGGUAAGGAGGCAGAGCUGCUUUCACCUCCCUUCUGACUGCUAUGAGCAAGAGACCAGCUUGAAUAGGUCUGGGAGCUUGGAUCACCUCUACCAGUUCUGACAGCACCACAGCUUCUGAGUUGGCAAAAUGGCUUAAUGGUCAAGCAGUUGUCUAUAAUAGGUAAGGCCAGGGUUCAACCACCAGCACAAAAAAGAAAUAAAAACACACAAAACUA